UACGUAGGGGGCAAGCGUUGUCCGGAAUCAUUGGGCGUAAAGAGCGUGUAGGCGGCUCGGUAAGUCCGCUGUAAAAGUCCAGGGCUCAACCCUGGAAAGCCGGUGGAAACUGUCGAGCUAGAGUCCGGAAGAGGCGAGUGGAAUUCCUGGUGUAGCGGUGAAAUGCGCAGAUAUCAGGAGGAACACCAAUGGCGAAGGCAGCUCGCUGGGACGGUACUGACGCUGAGGAGCGAAAGCUAGGGGAGCAAACGGG
rnacentral:rRNA from 1 species